rnacentral:rRNA from 1 species
GCACAAGCAGUGGAGUAUGUGGUUUAAUUCGACGCAACGCGAAGAACCUUACCAAGUCUUGACAUCCUGCGACGAUGCUGGAAACAGAAUUUUCCUUCGGGACGCAGAGACAGGUGGUGCAUGGUUGUCGUCAGCUCGUGUCGUGAGAUGUUGGGUUAAGUCCCGCAACGAGCGCAACCCUUGUGGUCAGUUGCUACGCAAGAGGACUCUGGCCAGACUGCCGUUGAUAAAA